rnacentral:rRNA from 1 species
AUGAACGCUGGCGGCGUGCCUAAUCCAUGCAAGUCGAGCGAACAGAUGAGGAGCUUGCUCCUCUGACGUUAGCGGCGGACGGGUGAGUAACACGUGGAUAACCUACCUAUAAGACUGGGAUAACUUCGGGAAACCGGAGCUAAUACCGGAUAAUAUAUUGAACCGCAUGGUUCAAUAGUGAAAGGCGGUUUUGCUGUCACUUAUAGAUGGAUCCGCGCCGCAUUAGCUAGUUGGUAAGGUAACGGCUUACCAAGGCAACGAUGCGUAGCCGACCUGAGAGGGUGAUCGGCCACACUGGAACUGAGACACGGUCCAGACUCCUACGGGAGGCAGCAGUAGGGAAUCUUCCGCAAUGGGCGAAAGCCUGACGGAGCAACGCCGCGUGAGUGAUGAAGGUCUUCGGAUCGUAAAACUCUGUUAUUAGGGAAGAACAAAUGUGUAAGUAACUAUGCACGUCUUGACGGUACCUAAUCAGAAAGCCACGGCUAACUACGUG